rnacentral:ribozyme from 1 species
CAACAUGAAGAAACGAACAUCUAUGGCCCUGGAAGAAAAGAUUGCAGUCGAUCCUGAUGGAUUCUUCAUCGAUGACCUGCAAGACAAGCCAGUGCCUGGCAUUCACAAGACCUUUUUCGAUGCGCUGCCAAAAGGAGCAUGGC